CCUACGGGGGGCAGCAGUGAGGAAUAUUGGUCAAUGGACGCAAGUCUGAACCAGCCAUGCCGCGUGCAGGAUGACGGCUCUAUGAGUUGUAAACUGCUUUUGUACGAGGGUAAACCCCGAUACGUGUAUCGGGUUGAAAGUAUCGUACGAAUAAGGAUCGGCUAACUCCGUGCCAGCAGCCGCGGUAAUACGGAGGAUCCGAGCGUUAUCCGGAUUUAUUGGGUUUAAAGGGUGCGUAGGCGGGAUGCCAAGUCAGCGGUCAAAUACGGGGGCUCAACCUGCGUCCGCCGUUGAAACUGGCGUUCUUGAGUGGGCGAGAAGUACGCGGAAUGCGUGGUGUAGCGGUGAAAUGCAUAGAUAUCACGCAGAACCCCGAUUGCGAAGGCAGCGUACCGGCGCCCGACUGACGCUGAAGCACGAAAGCGUGGGUAUCGAACAGGAUUAGAUACCCCAGUAGUC
rnacentral:rRNA from 1 species